rnacentral:rRNA from 1 species
UACGUAGGGGGCAAGCGUUGUCCGGAAUUAUUGGGCGUAAAGAGCUCGUAGGUGGCCUGUCGCGUCGGCUGUGAAAACUCGGGGCUCAACUCCGAGCUUGCAGUCGAUACGGGCAGGCUAGAGUUCGGCAGGGGAGACUGGAAUUCCUGGUGUAGCGGUGAAAUGCGCAGAUAUCAGGAGGAACACCGGUGGCGAAGGCGGGUCUCUGGGCCGAUACUGACACUGAGGAGCGAAAGCGUGGGGAGCGAACAGG